UGGGACCCUCAUUGCGGGACCCUCAUUGAGGGACCCUCAUUGCGGGACCCUGGGUGCGGAACCCUCACUGGGGACCCUGGGUGCCGGACCCUCAUUGGGGACCCUGGGUGCGGGACCCUCACUGGGGACCCUGGGUGCGGGACCCUCAUUCGGGACCCUGGGUGCGGGCUCCCAGCCCACCGGCGCGGAAAGCCGAGCCUUUGCCAAGGCCACCCCGAGAGUCUCUCGAUGCCUUUUCCUCCGCCCCGCAGCUGCUCCGGCUCCGCGGGCUCUGCUCCAUCGCUGCCCCGGCCCGGCACAGGACAGCUCUGGGACAGCUCUGGGACAGCUCUGGGACAGCUCUGGGACAGCUCUGGGACAGCUCUGGGACAGCUCUGGGAGCUCUGCCCUGCUCCCGGGGAUGGGCAGAAAAACCAAUCAAGCCCCCUCCCUCCUCCAGUUUUAAUCCGAGAUAAUAAUGCACUCGGGAAAUUUUAAGCCUUCAGACAAAUGACCCCAGGGGAUGGCUUUGUGAAUUCAGAGCAGAUCCCGCUUGCUUCCUCAAGGCGGCCAGCCAGGAAAUCAUGGAUUGAUGAACCGCUUGACGGGCCUGCUAAUGAAAUUAGCAGCAGCUCCAUGAUUUUUUUUCCAGUGAGCAGGACAGGCAGAUGUUGGAGGGAAGAACACAAUGGCACAGCUGCACUUGCAGGCUGCCUGAAUUCCCGGCAGAGCGGACAUGGGGCUCAGCAGAUCCAGCUUUGGCUGCUGCCCAUUUUACAGGUGCUUUCCCUAAGGCUCCCCUGGAAAUGGGGAGCAGAGGCAUCCAGGAGGAAAACCCCAGUGUAAGGGUCUGCUCAGCGCCCUGCAGAGAUGUGGUACCACAAUGCAUUGAGCUGCCUUGUCCAUACAUUAUUAAUAAUUUCCUUCUUUUAGCUCUCUCCAAAGAUAGCUUCUGUUCUACAGGGGUCUUUCUCAUCUGUGCAUUGUGGAUGGGAGACAUGAAAUGUGGAGCAAAUAUUUUGACUUUGGGAGAGGUUGUGCCACAGGAAAAUGUGUAAUUCACCAGGCAGCCACCCAUCAGAGCAGGGAUCUGCAGCAGAUGUUUUCUGCUAUCAAAGGAUGCAUCUUCAGACCUGGCCUGCCUGUAACAGAGCUGCAGGAAAAGGCCUGGGAUGCUCAGGUGAAUCAGCCAUAACUGCACUGUGCCACACUGGGUUUCCCUCCCCUGUGAGUAUUGCUUCCAGGAAUGAAAUGAUCGUCACUGGAUGAUACCCAGAAAAAGCUCUCAUCCACCUCUGGGAAGUGCAAAUACCCAUUUCACAGCUGGGGAAAAUGGAGAGAGCCUGCCAGGACACAGUGGUGAUAACUGCUGCCUCCCAGCUGCCUGCUUUUUGUUUUUCUUCAGGUGUUCAUGAGGAGGAGAUUUUGGUGGUGAGCGAGCCCCCAGAUAACCCAGAUAACCUCUGCUUAGGCUGUGGACAGUAAGGCUGCAACACAGGAGACCAUCUGGCUUUGCCCACUCUCCAGAGCUAAGUCAGGUCAGCAAGCUGCAAACAAGACCCAUCUACUGAGAUGGCAGAAGGAACAGAGUGCAUCUAAAAAUGGAUAAACAAACACCCUCGGACUGCUCCCAGCCAAGACAAGAGGCAUUUCAGAGCAGCCCAGGACAGCCUCGAGCACUGGCUCUGUUGACACAGGAGAAUGCAGCAGAUUUCACGUGGAAAGCGGCUGUUUCAAGAGAGGAGUGCAGCACAGCUCAGAAGUGCUUAUGUCUGAGGAGUCGAUGUUUACACAGGGGAAUAGCACGCUCACCUUGCUGUUAGAGCACGAAACAAAUGUUUGCCCAGCUCACUUUUGACAUGUUUUUGGCUCUGGCUGCCCAGCAGUAUUGAUCAGACUUUUUAUGGAGUGAGUGUUCCUUCUGUCUUUAG